UUAGAGCUGCCUGGUGGAUAUUUCUCCCGAAAAAUUUUUCUAAGUCCGUUAACAUUACAUGAUCGUUCUCUCGCUAUCCGCUUCUGCUUAUAAGUACAUGUAUGAAUUCCUCUUAGCGCCAUCCACAGGCGCUGAUAGGAUCAUUAUUGAUAUUCCAGCGUUGGUUGGGAUAAUUACGAGCUCUACAUUUAGCGCUAUUCAUUACCCAUAAUUCUAUUCACCUUCAGCAAACGGAGCGGUCGCGCUUAGAGAAAAAUAUUUGUAUAUAUUUAAAUAGGUAUAUUUGUCCUAAUCAAACAUGUUUGGUGCUUUGAAAGCUCUGCCAAACCUUGGACGCAGGAAUUUAGUUCAAACAAGGAAUUUCUAUGGCUAUGUAGGACGACCCAGAGAGCCGCUAUCUAUUGCUGAAACUUGGGCUCAUGGAUUAUGCAUUGCUCUUGGUAUCCUUGCUGUGCCCAGCUAUAUUUUGUGCCACAUUAAGGAAUAUCGUGGUUUAGACAAGCAGGCAGAAGAAUAAAUGCAUAUUUCCAUGGAGGAGGAUUCCAGAUUAAGAAGAAACUAUUUGUAGUAAUGUUUAACUAUUAUUGAUUAAAUAAAUGUUUGAAGUAUAUUAUAGUUUUAUUACUAGAGUCAUAAAUAUAGUCAAAAUUAAAUUGUUUUAAUUAUA